rnacentral:lncRNA from 1 species
CGACCAGCCCGUCAGAGUCAAAGGUCAAUCAUGACUUAUGGUUCAAUUUAUCUUUUAUACUUAAAAUUUGUUGAAACGGACAACAAAAGACAUCCUGUGACACGAGGGUCUGUAUAUGGUUUACAAACGAGAGAAAGGUCCAAAACAAAGGGAGAAAAAUAAAAAAUAGAGAAAAAUCCACCAGCCAAAAAGAAGUACAGUGAAUAAUUAUGACGUAUAAUUAUAUAAAGAAAAGAGAAGAAUGGGAC